AUUGAACGCUGGCGGAAUGCUUACACAUGCAAGUCGAACGGCAGCACGGACUUCGGUCUGGUGGCGAGUGGCGAACGGGUGAGUAAUGUAUCGGAACGUGCCCAGUCGUGGGGGAUAACGUAGUGAAAAUUACGCUAAUACCGCAUACGAUCUAUGGAUGAAAGCGGGGGAUCGUAAGACCUCGCGCGAUUGGAGCGGCCGAUAUCAGAUUAGGUAGUUGGUGGGGGAAAGGCCCACCAAGCCAACGAUCUGUAGCUGGUCUGAGAGGACGACCAGCCACACUGGAACUGAGACACGGUCCAGACUCCUACGGGAGGCAGCAGUGGGGAAUUUUGGACAAUGGGCGAAAGCCUGAUCCAGCCAUUCCGCGUGCAGGAUGAAGGCCCUCGGGUUGUAAACUGCUUUUGUACAGAACGAAAAGGUUUCUACUAAUACUAGGAGCUCAUGACGGUACUGUAAGAAUAAGCACCGGCUAACUACGUGCCAGCCGCCGCCGUAA
rnacentral:rRNA from 1 species